CCUACGGGAUGCAGCAGUGAGGAAUAUUGGUCAAUGGGCGAGAGCCUGAACCAGCCAAGUCGCGUGAGGGAGUAAUGCCCUAUGGGUUGUAAACCUCUUUUGUCGGGGAGCAAAAGCCGGACGUGUCCGGCUGUCAGAGUACCCGAAGGAAAAGCAUCGGCUAACUCCGUGCCAGCAGCCGCGGUAAUUCGGAGGAUGCGAGCGUUAUCCGGAUUUAUUGGGGUUAAAGGGGUCGAAGGAGGAUUGUUAAGUCAGCGGUAAAAUCGUGGGGCUCAACCCCAUCCAGCCGUUGAAACUGGGGAUCUAGAGUGUGCGAGAGGUAUGCGGAAUGCGUGGUGUAGCGGUGAAAUGCAUAGAUAUCACGCAGAACCCCGAUUGCGAAGGCAGCAUACCGGUGCACAACUGACGCUCAGGCACGAAAGCGUGGGUAUCGAACAGGAUUAGAUACCCUGGUAGUC
rnacentral:rRNA from 1 species